UGAGGAAUUAUGCGCAAUGGACGAAAGUCUGACGCUGCGACGUCGCGUGGGUGAUGAAGGUCUUCGGAUCGUAAAACCCUGUCGAGAGGGAAGAAAGAGCGGGCGCUAAUAUCGCCUACUUCUGACGGUACCUCUGGAGGAAGCCCCGGCUAACUCUGUGCCAGCAGCCGCGGUAAUACAGAGGGGGCAAGCGUUGUUCGGAAUUACUGGGCGUAAAGCGCACGUAGGUGGCGACGUAAGUCGGGUGUGAAAGCCCCGGGCUCAACCUGGGAAUUGCAUUCGAGACUGCAUUGCUGGAGUACGGAAGAGGAGGGCGGAAUUCCCGGUGUAGCGGUGAAAUGCGUAGAUAUCAAGAGGAACACCUGAGGUGAAGACGGGUUGCUGGGCUGACACUGACGCUGAGGCGCGAAAGCCAGGGGAGCAAACGGGAUUAGAUACCCUCGUAGUCCCUGAGCGGGCUGGCAAGGCGCAU
rnacentral:rRNA from 1 species